GACGAACGCUGGCGGCGUGCCUAACACAUGCAAGUCGAACGAGUCCAAUCCUUCGGGAUUGAGGCGAGUGGCGGACGGGUGAGUAACACGUGAGCAAUCUAUCCUGUUGCGGGGGACAACGAGGGAAACCUUCGCUAAUACCGCAUGGUCGAGAGAAGCGAUGCUUCUUUCGGGAAACGUGGCCUCUUUACAAUGCUACGGCGGCAGGCGGAGCUCGCGGGCUAUCAGCUGGUUGGUGAGGUCACGGCUCACCAAAGGCGACGACGGCUACGGGGUCUGAGAGGACGACCCCGCACAUUGGAACUGAGACACGGUCUAGACUCCUACGGGAGGCAGCAGUGGGGAACUAUUGGGGCAAUGGCCGAAAGGCUGACCCAGCGACGCCGCGUGUGGGAGGAAGCCCUCGGGGUGUAAACCACUGUCAGAGGGGACGAAAAUGAUUUCACGGUGAAUAAUCGUGGGAAGUGACGGUACCCUCAAAGGAAGCACCGGCUAACUCUGUGCCAGCAGCCGCGGUAAUACAGAGGGUGCGAGCGUUGUUCGGAAUUACUGGGCGUAAAGCGCGCGCAGGCGGGUCCUGUAAGUUGGAAGUGAAAUUUCGGAGCUCAACUCCGAAGCUGCUUCUGAUACUGCGGAUCUGGAGAUCGGUAGAGGUUGGUGGAAUUUACAGGUGUAGCGGUGGAAUGCGUAGAGAUCUGUAAGAACA
rnacentral:rRNA from 1 species